rnacentral:rRNA from 1 species
AGUGAACGCUGGCGGUAGGCCUAACACAUGCAAGUCGAACGGCAGCACAGUAAGAGCUUGCUCUUACGGGUGGCGAGUGGCGGACGGGUGAGGAAUACAUCGGAAUCUACUUUUUCGUGGGGGAUAACGUAGGGAAACUUACGCUAAUACCGCAUACGACCUACGGGUGAAAGCAGGUGAUCUUCGGACCUUGCGCGAUUGAAUGAGCCGAUGUCGGAUUAGCUAGUUGGCGGGGUAAAGGCCCACCAAGGCGACGAUCCGUAGCUGGUCUGAGAGGAUGAUCAGCCACACUGGAACUGAGACACGGUCAAGACUCCUACGGGAGGCAGCAGUGGGGAAUAUUGGACAAUGGGCGAAAGACUGAUCGAGACAUACCGCGUGGGUGAAGAAGGCCUUCGGGUUGUAAAGCCCUUUUGUUGGGAAAGAAAAGCAGCAGGUUAAUACCCCGCUGUUCUGACGGUACCCAAAGAAUAAGCACCGGCUAACUUCGUG